CAUUGUGAUUGGCCGCUCGACUGCCUGCUACUGGAGUGACGUCACUGCAGGAGAGAAGUGACAGAGGAGGAUGCAUUCAGUGAGAAACUAGACACUUCCAGCCUGGAGAGAGAGAGCAUCACAUUCACAGAGCUCAGGCGAAACGAGUGUAUCGCAUGCAGGUUACAUUCGCGCACGCUUUCAUAAAACAACCACGCAUCUUCUCCCGUAUCCGUGCGUUAACACUGUCAUCAAGCUUUGCAAAAGAGGAAUUCCCCAUCUUGGAAAUAAACCUGCCUGUUCCGUUUUGUGGAUCGUCUGGGUGACAUUCGAGGGUUGAAUACUUGAGGACUGCGAAUUUUUCAACGGGAAAAUGCAGCUUCGGAGAGAUGACACGGACGAGUGUGGUUUUUAACAAAAGAGAAUUUUUUGCGACGUGCUCUUUAACGCAAGACGCCCGGGAACCUCUAUUUGUCCCCAACACACUGGCACUCGUUCCUUACUUUCAGACAGAGAGGAAUAUGCGCGUCGUUUUGAAAACGUCAACUUCCCAAGAUGUUUCAACUCUAGAAAGUGUUAACAGGAGGUGGUUGCUAUCUUUGGUUAUCUAGCUGUAUGAGUGUUUAUCUUCCUUCAUAAAGCUAGAUAACCGAAAGUAGAAACGUCCUCCUUAACUGCACAGCACACAAGUUCAUUGGGAAAACUGCACGUGAGAGUUCAAAGCAUGAGGCACUCAAAGCAAGGUGUCUUUGUGAAAGACCAGAGGACUAAAGCUUAAAACUACACCAUCUGCAACUGCCAUCCAUUUACACACUGCCUUUUUGGAGUAAGAGGGGGAGAGGAAAAAAUGGCGCAAUUGUCCAAAUGAAAGAAAAGGCGAAAAAAGAAAAAUAAUAGUCAACCCUCAUCCUUCUACCAGCUCCCCUCCCUUCCCGUCAUCAACGGAAGCAUUUAGUGCCAUCUGUGCCCCCGGAGAAAAGCAAAAAGAAAGGAGUGAGACUCUACAUCCCAAGUGCCAACGGGGACAAAGAGGCUGCCAGUUGCCAUGGACCACCAGAUGCUGGGAGACUGCAACACUGAAUGAGGGGUGUGCUUGCAGGAAGCCAUCUUGAUGGAGAAACUGGCUGCUGCUACCUAAAAUGGCUGUGUUGGCAUAAGGCUCCUGGCAAUGAUCAAAAAGGCGGAAAAAAUCACUGUCAACAGCUGUUGAAAAAACUGAGGCCCAGCAGCUAUUUUUAACAGGGACGGUCAAUCACAGCACUCCAGGAAUCCAGCAUCCUGCAUUUACUCCAGAUGCUUCACUGUAAAAAUAAAGCAGGCGGCGCGAGGGAUGGAUUUAAAAUGUGCACUAAUUGACUGAAAAAAAAACUGAAACCUUUCAUCCUGCAGAUCUCUACGCAGAUGUGUAAAUGUAUAGAGGACAUACUGUUAACCCAGUUCAAUUGUAGUUGUUAAAACAAAGUGUUGUACAAUCUGUGAAGUGAAGAAAAUAAUGUGCAUUCAUGUGUGAAAUGUUUACAAAGUUCACAUUGUUAAAUGUCUCUAUGAUGUCAAUGUCUGCACUCAGUCAGGUAAAUUUAAAGUUUUUUUUAUGUUUAAUAUAUAUAGUAUGAACUUCUGUGCUCUGUCAUAACGAUUCAUUUUCUUGAAAUAAAGCCUUAAAUUAAAAUCAAAUCUUUGGCUAU